rnacentral:rRNA from 1 species
AGAGUUUGAUCAUGGCUCAGAUUGAACGCUGGCGGCAGGCUUAACACAUGCAAGUCGAGCGGAGACUUCGGUCUUAGCGGCGAACGGGUGAGUAAUACCUAGGAAUCUGCCUAUUAGUGGGGGAUAACGAAUCGAAAGGUUCGCUAAUACCGCAUACGUCCUACGGGAGAAAGGGGGGGAUCUUCGGACCUCUCGCUAAUAGAUGAGCCUAGGCCGGAUUAGCUAGUUGGUAGGGUAAAGGCCUACCAAGGCGACGAUCUGUAGCUGGUCUGAGAGGAUGGCCAGCCACACUGGAACUGAGACACGGUCCAGACUCCUACGGGAGGCAGCAGUGGGGAAUAUUGGACAAUGGGGGCAACCCUGAUCCAGCCAUGCCGCGUGUGUGAAGAAGGCCUUCGGGUUGUAAGGCACUUUAAGCGAGGAGGAAGGUUUUUAGUUUAAUACACUAAAGAAUUGACGUUACUCGCAGAAUAAGCACCGGCUAACUCUGUG